rnacentral:rRNA from 1 species
GACGAACCGUGCGAACGUUAUUCGGAUUCACUGGGCUUAAAGGGCGCGUAGGCGGACGAGCAAGUCCGGGGUGAAAUCUUUCGGCUUAACCGGAAAAGUGCCUUGGAUACUGCUCGCCUUGAGUGAGGUAGGGGCAUGUGGAACUUCCGGUGGAGCGGUGAAAUGCGUUGAUAUCAGGAGGAACACCGGUGGCGAAGGCGGGUCUCUGGGCCGUAACUGACGCUGAGGAGCGAAAGCGUGGGGAGCGAACAGG